rnacentral:rRNA from 1 species
AGAGUUUGAUCCUGGCUCAGGAUGAACGCUGGCGGCGUGCCUAAUACAUGCAAGUCGAGCGGUAAGGUUCUGCACUUAUUAUUUGACCAGACAAGUCAGUCUUCGGGCAGAAACUAUCUGAACCUUGUUCUCUGGCUAGAGAACGAUGUCGAAUAAUGUGUGUAGAAUACACGAGCGGCGGACGGCUGAGUAACGCGUAGGAAUGUACCCCAAAGUGAGGGAUAAGCACCGGAAACGGUGUCUAAUACCGCAUGUGAUCUUCGGAUUAAAGCUUUAUGCGCUUUGGGAACGGCCUGCGUAAGAUUAGCUUGUUGGUGAGGUAAUGGCUCACCAAGGCGACGAUCUUUAGCUGGUCUGAGAGGAUGACCAGCCAGACUGGAACUGAGACACGGUCCAGACUCCUACGGGAGGCAGCAGUAGGGAAUCUUCCACAAUGGGCGAAAGCCUGAUGGAGCAACGCCGCGUGCAGGAUGAAGGCCUUCGGGUUGUAAACUGCUUUUGUCUAUGAAGAAUAUGACGGUAAUAGACGAAUAAGGGUCUGCUAACUACGUGCCAGCAGCCGCGGUCAUACGUGGGACCCAAGCGUUAUCCGGAAUUACUGGGCGUAAAGAGUUGCGUAGGUGGCAAUGUAAGUAGAUAGUGAAAUCGUGUGGCUCAACCACAUGUCCAUUAUCUAAACUGCAUAGCUUGAGAAUGGGAGAGGUAGAUGGAAUUUCUAGUGUAGGAGUGAAAUCCGUAGAUAUUAGAAGGAACACCGAUGGCGUAAGCAGUCUACUGGCCCGUUUCUGACACUAACGCACGAAAGCGUGGGAGCGAACGGGAUUAGAUACCCCGGUAGUCCACGCCGUAAACUAUGGAUACUAGCUGUUAAAAGUAUCGACCCUUCUAGUAGCGAAGCUAACGCGUUAAG